rnacentral:rRNA from 1 species
GAACGGUAACAGGCCCGCAAGGGUGCUGACGAGUGGCGGACGGGUGAGGAAUACAUCGGAAUCUGCCCGGUUGUGGGGGAUAACGUAGGGAAACUUACGCUAAUACCGCAUACGACCGAGAGGUGAAAGCGGGGGAUCGCAAGACCUCGCGCGAUCGGAUGAGCCGAUGUCGGAUUAGCUAGUUGGCGGGGUAAAGGCCCACCAAGGCGACGAUCCGUAGCUGGUCUGAGAGGAUGAUCAGCCACACUGGGACUGAGACACGGCCCAGACUCCUACGGGAGGCAGCAGUGGGGAAUAUUGGACAAUGGGGGCAACCCUGAUCCAGCAAUGCCGCGUGUGUGAAGAAGGCCUUCGGGUUGUAAAGCACUUUUAUCCGGAACGAAACGCACUGGGUGAAUAUCCCGGUGAACUGACGGUACCGGAGGAAUAAGCACCGGCUAACUUAGUG